rnacentral:rRNA from 1 species
GACCUCGGAUCAGGUAGGGAUACCCGCUGAACUUAAGCAUAUCAAUAAGCGGAGGAAAAGAAACCAACAGGGAUUGCCUCAGUAACGGCGAGUGAAGCGGCAACAGCUCAAAUA